UAGCCACUCCUACGGAGGCAGCAGUGGGAAUAUUGCACAAUGGGCGCAAGCCUGAUGCAGCCAUGCCGCGUGUAUGAAGAAGGCCUUCGGGUUGUAAAGUACUUUCAGCAGUGAGGAAGGUGGGUAUGUUAAUAGCAUAUUCAUUUGACGUUAGCUGCAGAAGAAGCACCGGCUAACUCCGUGCCAGCAGCCGCGGUAAUACGGAGGGUGCGAGCGUUAAUCGGAAUUACUGGGCGUAAAGCGCAUGCAGGUGGUUUGUUAAGUCAGAUGUGAAAGCCCGGGGCUCAACCUCGGAAUUGCAUUUGAAACUGGCAAACUAGAGUACUGUAGAGGGGGUAGAAUUUCAGGUGUAGCGGUGAAAUGCGUAGAGAUCUGAAGGAAUACCGGUGGCGAAGGCGGCCCCCUGGACAGAUACUGACACUCAGAUGCGAAAGCGUGGGGAGCAAACAGGAUUAGAUACCCUGGUAG
rnacentral:rRNA from 1 species